GGCAGUGUAGCAUAGUGGUUAAGGCACAGGACUUGUAAUCGAAAGGUUGCUAGUUCAAUUCCCCACUGGACCACUGCUG